rnacentral:rRNA from 1 species
GGGUUGUGAGGUUAAGCGACUAAGCGUACACGGUGGAUGCCUAGGCAGUCAGAGGCGAUGAAGGGCGUGCUAAUCUGCGAAAAGCGUCGGUAAGCUGAUAUGAAGCGUUACAACCGACGAUACCCGAAUGGGGAAACCCAGUGCAAUUCGUUGCACUAUUGCAUGGUGAAUACAUAGCCAUGCAAGGCGAACCGGGGGAACUGAAACAUCUAAGUACCCCGAGGAAAAGAAAUCAACCGAGAUUCCCCCAGUAGCGGCGAGCGAACGGGGAAGAGCCCAGAGUCUGAAUCAGUUUAUGUGUUAGUGGAAGCGUCUGGAAAGUCGCACGGUACAGGGUGAUAGUCCCGUACACAAAAAUGCAUAUUCUGUGAACUCGAUGAGUAGGGCGGGACACGUGACAUCCUGUCUGAAUAUGGGGGGACCAUCCUCCAAGGCUAAAUACUCCUGACUGACCGAUAGUGAACCAGUACCGUGAGGGAAAGGCGAAAAGAACCCCGGCGAGGGGAGUGAAAUAGAACCUGAAACCGUGUACGUACAAGCAGUGGGAGCACCUUCGUGGUGUGACUGCGUACCUUUUGUAUAAUGGGUCAGCGACUUAUAUUUUGUAGCAAGGUUAACCGAAUAGGGGAGCCGUAGGGAAACCGAGUCUUAACUGGGCGUCUAGUUGCAAGGUAUAGACCCGAAACCCGGUGAUCUAGCCAUGGGCAGGUUGAAGGUUGGGUAACACUAACUGGAGGACCGAACCGACUAAUGUUGAAAAAUUAGCGGAUGACUUGUGGCUGGGGGUGAAAGGCCAAUCAAACCGGGAGAUAGCUGGUUCUCCCCGAAAGCUAUUUAGGUAGCGCCUCGUGAACUCAUCUUCGGGGGUAGAGCACUGUUUCGGCUAGGGGGUCAUCCCGACUUACCAAACCGAUGCAAACUCCGAAUACCGAAGAAUGUUAUCACGGGAGACACACGGCGGGUGCUAACGUCCGUCGUGAAGAGGGAAACAACCCAGACCGCCAGCUAAGGUCCCAAAGUCAUGGUUAAGUGGGAAACGAUGUGGGAAGGCACAGACAGCCAGGAUGUUGGCUUAGAAGCAGCCAUCAUUUAAAGAAAGCGUAAUAGCUCACUGGUCGAGUCGGCCUGCGCGGAAGAUGUAACGGGGCUAAACCAUGCACCGAAGCUGCGGCAGCGACACUUAGGUGUUGUUGGGUAGGGGAGCGUUCUGUAAGCCGUUGAAGGUGACCUGUGAGGGUUGCUGGAGGUAUCAGAAGUGCGAAUGCUGACAUAAGUAACGAUAAUGCGGGUGAAAAACCCGCACGCCGGAAGACCAAGGGUUCCUGUCCAACGUUAAUCGGGGCAGGGUGAGUCGACCCCUAAGGCGAGGCUGAAAAGCGUAGUCGAUGGGAAACAGGUUAAUAUUCCUGUACUUGGUGUUACUGCGAAGGGGGGACGGAGAAGGCUAGGCUAGCCGGGCGACGGUUGUCCCGGUUUAAGCAUGUAGGCGGAGUGACCAGGUAAAUCCGGUUGCUUAUCAACGCUGAGGUGUGAUGACGAGCCACUACGGUGGUGAAGUAGUUGAUGCCAAGCUUCCAGGAAAAGCCUCUAAGCAUCAGGUAACAUUAAAUCGUACCCCAAACCGACACAGGUGGUCAGGUAGAGAAUACUCAGGCGCUUGAGAGAACUCGGGUGAAGGAACUAGGCAAAAUGGUGCCGUAACUUCGGGAGAAGGCACGCUGGCGCUAGGUGAAGAGACUUGCUCUCAGAGCUGAAGCCAGUCGCAGAUACCAGCUGGCUGCAACUGUUUAAUAAAAACACAGCACUGUGCAAACACGAAAGUGGACGUAUACGGUGUGACGCCUGCCCGGUGCUGGAAGGUUAAUUGAUGGGGUCAGCCGCAAGGCGAAGCUCUUGAUCGAAGCCCCAGUAAACGGCGGCCGUAACUAUAACGGUCCUAAGGUAGCGAAAUUCCUUGUCGGGUAAGUUCCGACCUGCACGAAUGGCGUAAUGAUGGCCAGGCUGUCUCCACCCGAGACUCAGUGAAAUUGAACUCGCUGUGAAGAUGCAGUGUACCCGCGGCAAGACGGAAAGACCCCGUGAACCUUUACUAUAGCUUGACACUGAACAUUGAGCCUUGAUGUGUAGGAUAGGUGGGAGGCAUUGAAGUGUGGACGCCAGUCUGCAUGGAGCCAACCUUGAAAUACCACCCUUUAAUGUUUGAUGUUCUAACUCGGCCCCGUAAUCCGGGGUGAGGACAGUGUCUGGUGGGUAGUUUGACUGGGGCGGUCUCCUCCCAAAGAGUAACGGAGGAGCACGAAGGUUAGCUAAUCACGGUCGGACAUCGUGAGGUUAGUGCAAAGGCAUAAGCUAGCUUGACUGCGAGAGUGACGGCUCGAGCAGGUACGAAAGUAGGUCUUAGUGAUCCGGUGGUUCUGAAUGGAAGGGCCAUCGCUCAACGGAUAAAAGGUACUCCGGGGAUAACAGGCUGAUACCGCCCAAGAGUUCAUAUCGACGGCGGUGUUUGGCACCUCGAUGUCGGCUCAUCACAUCCUGGGGCUGAAGUAGGUCCCAAGGGUAUGGCUGUUCGCCAUUUAAAGUGGUACGCGAGCUGGGUUUAGAACGUCGUGAGACAGUUCGGUCCCUAUCUGCCGUGGGCGUUGGAAGAUUGAGAGGGGCUGCUCCUAGUACGAGAGGACCGGAGUGGACGAAUCACUGGUGUUCGGGUUGUCAUGCCAAUGGCAUUGCCCGGUAGCUAAAUUCGGAAGAGAUAACCGCUGAAAGCAUCUAAGCGGGAAACUUGCCUCGAGAUGAGUCUUCCCUGGGGCUUUAAGCCCCCUGAAGGAACGUUAAAGACUAUGACGUUGAUAGGCUGGGUGUGUAAGUGCAGCGAUGCAUUGAGCUAACCAGUACUAAUGAUCCGUGAGGCUUAACCUUACAACACCAAAGGUGUUUUG